rnacentral:rRNA from 1 species
GGACUGAGACACGGCCCAAACUCUUACGGGAGGCAGCAGUGGGGAAUCUUGCACAAUGGAGGAAACUCUGAUGCAGCGAUGCCGCGUGAGUGAAGAAGGCCUUUGGGUUGUAAAGCUCUUUCGUCGGGGAAGAAAAUGACUGUACCCGAAUAAGAAGGUCCGGCUAACUUCGUGCCAGCAGCCGCGGUAAUACGAAGGGACCUAGCGUAGUUCGGAAUUACUGGGCUUAAAGAGUUCGUAGGUGGUUGAAAAAGUUGGUGGUGAAGUCCCAGAGCUUAACUCUGGAACUGCCAUCAAAACUUUUCAGCUAGAGUAUGAUAGAGGAAAGCAGAAUUUCUAGUGUAGAGGUGAAAUUCGUAGAUAUUAGAAAGAAUACCAAUUGCGAAGGCAGCUUUCUGGAUCAUUACUGACACUGAGGAACGAAAGCAUGGGUAGCGAAGAGGAUUAGAUACCCUCGUAGUCCAUGCCGUAAACGAUGUGUGUUAGACGUUGGAAAUUUAUUUUCAGUGUCGCAGGGAAACCGAUAAACACACCGCCUGGGGAGUACGACCGCAAGGUUAAAACUCAAAUGAAUUGACGGGGACCCGCACAAGUAGUGGAGCAUGUGGUUUAAUUCGAAGAUACGCGCAGAACCUUACCAACACUUGACAUGUUCGUCGCGACUCUAAGAGAUUAGAGUUUUCGGUUCGGCCGGACGAAACACAGGUGCUGCAUGGCUGUCGUCAGCUCGUGUCGUGAGAUGUUGGGUUAAGUCCCGCAACGAGCGCAACCCUCACUUUUAGU